CAGCCGCCGCGGGAAUACGUAGGUCCCGAGCGUUGUCCGGAUUUAUUGGGCGUAAAGCGAGCGCAGGCGGUUAGAUAAGUCUGAGGUUAAAGGCUGUGGCUUAACCAUAGUACGCUUUGGAAAUUGUUUAACUUGAGUGCAAGAGGGGAGAGUGGAAUUCCAUGUGUAGCGGUGAAAUGCGUAGAUAUAUGGAGGAACACCGGUGGCGAAAGCGGCUCUCUGGCUUGUAACUGACGCUGAGACUCGAAAGCGUGGGGAGCAAACAGGAUUAGAGACCCGUGUAGUCCCUGUCUCUUAUACC
rnacentral:rRNA from 1 species